UUCGAUUUCGUUGUUUCUUCAGUAAGAUCGAAGAGAAAGAUGACGAAAACGAGGUUAGAUACUAGGGCAGAUGAAGAGCUCGGCCGAGAAGACAAGGGCAUAUGAAGAACCCUAAAUCGCCAUGGGAGAAGACAAGGUUAAAAAAGAAUUAGGGUAUGAUGCCUUUUACUCGUGUCCCUCUUUUUAGUCUUUUUUUUCUUUUGUUUUUAAUUUUUAACUAUUUUAACUAUUAAAUCUAUUACGAAAAUUAUAAUUUAUAAUUAUAAUUCAACUUAAUUGAUUAGUUUUAAGGACAUUAUGGUAUUUUACAGAAAUUAAAAUCCUAUUUUCCUAAAAAAUCUUAUAGAAGUCCUAAAAUGACAAAUCAAAGAUGAGAGUGUCCUUUUUUUCUAAUAUUCCUUCAUAUUAACUUGAUUCAAAUAUUAAACUAACUCUUUUUUCUUUACUUUUUAAUGGUCAAUUUUUUUUGGGGUCAACGUUAAUAAUAGGGAAAUAUAUGAUACGAUAGCACUAAAAAUUUAUGUCACAAAUAUAGACUCUAAGGAUCAAAAUGACCAAAAUGUUUCAUUAAA
rnacentral:lncRNA from 1 species